rnacentral:piRNA from 1 species
UGUGAAACGUUAAAGUAUCCAAAAGAUAAAA